AAACUUGGUCCCCCGGCUCGCGGAGUGCCUGCGAGCGGUGCUCAUGGCGCUCUAUGAGCUCUUCUCUCACCCGGUCGAGCGCAGUUACCGCGCGGGGCUCUGCUCCAAAGCCGCGCUGUUCCUGCUGCUGGCCGCUGCGCUCACGUACAUCCCGCCGCUGCUGGUGGCCUUCCGGAGCCACGGGUUUUGGCUGAAGCGGAGCAGCUACGAGGAGCAGCCGACCGUGCGCUUCCAACACCAGGUGCUGCUCGUGGCCCUGCUCGGACCCGAAAGCGACGGGUUCCUCGCCUGGAGCACGUUCCCCGCCUUCAACCGGCUGCAAGGGGAUCGCCUGCGCGUCCCGCUCGUUUCGUGGAGGAGAUAAUGCCUGUUGUGUACAGCAAGACAGUGGGUCAUUGUGUAUUUACAGAAGUGAUGUGGAUUCCUCCCAGACUCAUUAGUGACCAGGGCUGCUGGGCCUGUUUGGGUUUCCUAGACUAGAGAAGAAGACAGGAACCAGGAUGGGAAGACGGACAUGUUACAUUUUAAGCUGGAGCUUCCCCUGCAGUCCACGGAGCACGUUCUCGGUGUGCAGCUCAUCCUGACUUUCUCCUAUCGAUUACACAGGAUGGCGACCCUCGUGAUGCAGAGCAUGGCGUUUCUCCAGUCCUCCUUUCCUGUCCCGGGAUCCCAGUUAUACGUGAACGGAGACCUGAGGCUGCAGCAGAAGCAGCCGCUGAGCUGUGGUGGCCUAGAUGCCCGAUACAACAUAUCCGUGAUCAACGGGACCAGCCCCUUUGCCUAUGACUACGACCUCACCCAUAUUGUUGCUGCCUACCAGGAGAGGAACGUUACCACCGUCCUGAAUGAUCCCAACCCCAUCUGGCUGGUGGGCAGGGCCGCAGAUGCUCCAUUUGUGAUUAAUGCUAUCAUCCGAUACCCUGUGGAAGUCAUUUCUUAUCAGCCAGGAUUCUGGGAGAUGGUAAAGUUCGCCUGGGUGCAGUAUGUCAGCAUCCUGCUUAUCUUCCUCUGGGUGUUUGAAAGAAUCAAGAUCUUCGUGUUUCAGAAUCAGGUGGUGACCACCAUUCCUGUGACAGUGACGCCCCGGGGAGACUUGUGUAAGGAGCACUUAUCCUAGAAAGGCCAUUUCUGAAGACUCAGCAGGACCGUGGCUGCCUCAUUGUCAUCUUCUGGGAACAUCUUAGGACCUUUUGAAAGAGCCCAGCGGACACCUGCGGGCUUGUGUGCUUUUCCCUCAGAGACAACGGUUCUUUCCGGUUUUGCUCUACACAGUUCCGUAUCUUCAGAGCUCCUGCAGAAUUGUCAGGGACUAGUUUGUGGAAAGGUCUGAGAGUUCCUGGAGGCUAUAAUUAGCUUUUUGGGUUUUCCUUCUUUGCCUUAGCGUUGAAUUUCAGGAGAAAAUUGCAGUCAGUUCAGACAUCUUGGAAAGAGUCCCAUCUCUGGUCAAGCAGAGACUUUUCCUCUGUUGAACUGAGGAACACACUGUGCAUUUCUACCUUCUGUUGUGAGCCACUCUUACUCUUUUCAGGGCUCUCUUGUGACAAACAUGCCAAUCACUAGCACUUUGCACCCCUGGGCUUCUCCAUUUCCCAUUCACAGCUUUGAUUUCCAGAGCUGAGGCCUUUAACUGGAGACCUGGAGGGGCAGGGCCCAAGGGCAAGGGCCGCAUUAGCACAGGCAAUCAGGGAGGGCCGCUGAAGGACACUUGGACCGUCCACCUGCCCCAGCCCAACAGUCAGUCAUCUGUCAUCAGCUCAGCUGAGCAGCCCUGGAUCUUUGCCGUACUGUGACUGGGCUCUUUGCCCUAUUUUUCCCUCUGUCUGUGCCCCUGGAUGGCAGGCUGAAGUCAGAGGGGCUGUUUCAUUCUCAGCCCCCUCAGCAGCACUGGGGGAAGAAAGCAUUGUCACAACAGGUUCUUUCUGGCCCUCACCCAACAGCCUGGGCACUUGGCCCUCCUCCUCCUUGACAGCCCUCCCCCUUCCUGCAAAGGACAGGGGCGACAGGGGUUGGUGUUGGGAUUGGCUCCCGCUGCCUGACAACCACAAGUUUAUUUGGAAGGCUAGCGGGAAGCCCAGCGGCUGGCGUUUCCCUUGACUAAGGAACAGGGUGCCCAUCAGAGUGGGGCGGGCAGCUUUGGGAAGGACACAAGAAGCAGUAAGAGUGUAAAGAGGAUGCUGGCCUGGGCAGGCCAGUCCAGCCUGGCCACUAGCAGAAUACCAAGCAGUCCAGUGGAUUACCCUCGUGGCUAAGCAAGUGUCUGCAGGAGCAGAGAUGGCUGGAAGGGGCCUCUGCACACGGAAGAUGGCUUGUUCAGCCCAUUCACCUCCUGAGGAUGUGGGCAGUCUCCUCCAAGAACACAUGGAGCUGCUUCCUGAUCCCAAGCAGGUCAUUGCCACUGGAAGGACAUGGCCCCGGUGAUCCAUGCUUCAUGCCCACCCAGAAACACACCCCUCAGUGUGUGCCUCAGUUUACUUUGGAGAUCAGUUGUCGUUUUUAGUGCUCCUUUAGGCUUACUAAAACAGUUUUGGAAACAAAGCUAUUUUGAAGUAUUCAAGCAGAGGAAUUCCCUAACACUGACCCCCUUGUCUUUUUUUAAUAUUCAGGCUGUUUUAUAUGCCUAAAUUUUUUUCUUAAGAUCUAAACGAAAAAUAGUUUCUUGUUUAAAUUCACAUAAGGCAAUGAGAUAUGGAAAGAUGACAAGAUACGUAUAAACAUUGGUUUGCAUUUUAUUAAAUUAUUCUAAUGCAAAUCUUGUAUAAAGAACCCAUGAUGUUUUGUAACUUUCUAAUUAAAAUGUUCAAAAUGAGGCCGAGCAUGGUGGUUCAUUCCUGUAAUCUCAACACUUUGGGAGGCCAAGGUGGGAGGAUCACUUGAGCCCAGGAGCUUGAGGCUGCAGUGUGCUAUGAUUGCACCACUGUACUGUAGCCUGGGUGACAGAGUGAGACCCUAUCUGUUAAAAUAAAUAAAUAAAUAAAUAAAAAAGUCAAAAUGGAAGAUCACAUGUACCUUUUUCGAGGGAAAGGGUUUGGAAUGGCAAAGAAUAGGGAGGGCAGAGGUUGCACACACCUGUCUUUAUUACUCAUCUACAGCCAUGCUUUACAAGGCUCUGCCUAACGACCUUGGAACUUCCAUGAGGUCUUUGGUGAAAGUCCCCUAGUUCUUCCCCAGGUAGAUGAGUUUUCAGUGGGAUUCACAUGCCAUGUGAAAUCUACGUGUUGGAUAAUUAUGACUGUGUCUGGUGAAUAUGAAAUUAUUUACAGACCAGAUGUUGAUAGUUUCUGACUCUGAAUCACAGCAUAGCUGCAAGAGGUAAAUAAAAAGCAAGAGGCCGGGAGCGGUGGCUCACGCCUGUAAUCCCAGCACUUUGGGAGGCCGAGGUGGGUGAAUCACAAGGUCAGGAGAUCGAGACCAUCCUGGCCAACAUGGUGAAACCCCAUCUCCACUAAAAAUACAAAAAUUGGCUGGGUGUGGCGACACGUGCCUGUCAUCCCAACUAUUUAGUAGGCUGAGGCAGGAGAAUCGCUUGAACCCUGGAGGCGGAGGUUGCAGUGAGCCGAGAUUGCGCCACUGCACUCCAGCCUGGCAACAGAGCUAGACUCCGUCUCAAAAAAAAAAAAAAAAAGAAAUAUAGAGGAUUUUAUUAACUCAGCUCCGACCCAUAGCUAAGUUAAGGUUUGAUGUUAUUACUGAAUAUUUGGAGGCAGAAAGACUCCUGAUUUUGCCAAAUGAUUAGUACAGUUUCGGCUUAAGUCAGAUGAGGCCCCCCUAAUAUUCCAUCAUGUAAGGCUAAUAAAGCAAUUAUUUCUUUUUUUUUUUUCCUUCCAACUUUUAUUGUAGACUCAUGGGGUAUAUGUAUGGGUUUCGUAUAUAGCUAAAUUGUACAACCUGGGGGUUUGGUGUACAGAUUAUUUCAUCACCCACGUAAUAAGCAUAGUACCCAGUAGGUGGUUUUUCUUUUCUUUUUCUUUUUCUUUUUUUUUUUUUUUUUUGAGACAGAGUCUCACUCUGUUACCCAGGCUGGAGUGCAGCAGCAUGAUCUCAGCUCAUUGCAGCCUCUACCUCCCAGGUUCAAGUGAUUCUCCUGCCUUACCCUCCCGAGUAGCUGGGAUUACGGGUGCCCACCACCAUGCCCGGCUAAUUUUUGUGUUUUUAGUAGAGACAGGGCUUCACCCUGGUGGUCAGGCUGGUCUCGAACUCCUGACCUCAAGUGAUCCAUCCGCUUUGGCCACCCAAAGUGCUGGGAUCACAGCAGUUUGAUCACAGAAGUUAUUAUGGUUGGCAUUCUGGCACACAUCUUUCUAAUCUUUUUUGUUGUAUGUAACCUUUUUAGUAUCACAAACAACACUUUUAUAAACCUUGUGUAGAAAUCA